GGAGGAGUCGCAUAGUGGCCAUUGCAACAGCUUGGAAAGCUGUGACCUUAACGGGUCUCGUGGGUUCGAGUCCCACCUCCUCCG
rnacentral:tRNA from 1 species